ACCCCGGGCUGCUGCGCUCCUGGCCGCGAGCGAGCGGACCGGGAGAGCAGAAAUGGUAUUUAUUUCUGAAUAAGAUGGCCCUCCAUCGCCAAUAUGAUCAGUAUCAAUUGUUGGUCGUCUUGAGAGCUCCCUGCAAGAAUGUGCAUCUUUCGUUCCCUUGCGCAGGACUUCCAGGUCGCUGUCAGCCUGCUAACGAUGAGACUCAUGGAAGCCACUUUGAAAUUUAGUGACACACUUGGGUUCAAACCCACUUCAUGCAGUUCCAAAGCCUUUGCUGUUUCCACUAGAUUCAGCUGUCUUAGACAAAUGGUUGUUAAAUGCAGUCUCCUCCUCUUGGCUAAUUCUUACGCUUCCUGCUAAGUGGGGAAUAAAUUGACAUUCCAUGAAA